AUGAUCCCCGUGGGAGAGACCGGCCCUUUAUCGGGUCGGCGCCGAAGGAGCAACCGCCCCUGGAAACUCUCAGGCAAAAGGACCGCGGGGGGAUG
rnacentral:ncRNA from 2 species